rnacentral:rRNA from 1 species
GACGAACGCUGGCGGCGUGCCUAAUACAUGCAAGUAGAACGCACAGUUUAUACCGUAGCUUGCUACACCAUAGACUGUGAGUUGCGAACGGGUGAGUAACGCGUAGGUAACCUGCCUGGUAGCGGGGGAUAACUAUUGGAAACGAUAGCUAAUACCGCAUAAUAUUAAUUAUUGCAUGAUAAUUGAUUGAAAGGUGCAAUUGCACCACUACCAGAUGGACCUGCGUUGUAUUAGCUAGUAGGUGAGGUAACGGCUCACCUAGGCGACGAUACAUAGCCGACCUGAGAGGGUGAUCGGCCACACUGGGACUGAGACACGGCCCAGACUCCUACGGGAGGCAGCAGUAGGGAAUCUUCGGCAAUGGACGUAAGUCUGACCGAGCAACGCCGCGUGAGUGAAGAAGGUUUUCGGAUCGUAAAGCUCUGUUGUAAGAGAAGAACCGGGUGUGAGAGCGGAAAGUUCAC